ensembl:snRNA U4 U4 spliceosomal RNA
AGCUUUGCGCAGUGGCAGUAUCGUAGCCAAUGAGGUUUAUCCGAGGCGCGAUUAUUGCUAAUUGAAACACAGCACGGUCCUGGUUAGGAACCUGAACUGUGGUGUGGAUUCCAGACGAGGCAGGGAAGCCCUCUAGUGGC